UACAAUAAUAAAUCAAACUCA
rnacentral:piRNA from 1 species